CUUCAGCGAGCCGAGCCACAGCGGCGGCCGGCCGUCCCGGCCCGCGCCGUACGCGUCGAGCAGCGCCUGCGCCUC
rnacentral:antisense_RNA from 2 species